AUGCAAGUCGAGCGGGGGAAGGUAGCUUGCUACCUAACCUAGCGGCGGACGGGUGAGUAAUGCUUAGGAAUCUGCCUAUUAGUGGGGGACAACAUUCCGAAAGGAAUGCUAAUACCGCAUACGUCCUACGGGAGAAAGCAGGGGAUCUUCGGACCUUGCGCUAAUAGAUGAGCCUAAGUCGGAUUAGCUAGUUGGUGGGGUAAAGGCCUACCAAGGCGACGAUCUGUAGCGGGUCUGAGAGGAUGAUCCGCCACACUGGGACUGAGACACGGCCCAGACUCCUACGGGAGGUAGCAGUGGGGAAUAUUGGACAAUGGGCGGAAGCCUGAUCCAGCCAUGCCGCGUGUGUGAAGAAGGCCUUAUGGUUGUAAAGCACUUUAAGCGAGGAGGAGGCUACUCUAGUUAAUACCUAGAGAUAGUGGACGUUACUCGCAGAAUAAGCACCGGCUAACUCUGUGCCAGCAGCCGCGGUAAUACAGAGGGUGCGAGCGUUAAUCGGAUUUACUGGGCGUAAAGCGUGCGUAGGCGGCUGAUUAAGUCGGAUGUGAAAUCCCUGAGCUUAACUUAGGAAUUGCAUUCGAUACUGGUCAGCUAGAGUAUGGGAGAGGAUGGUAGAAUUCCAGGUGUAGCGGUGAAAUGCGUAGAGAUCUGGAGGAAUACCGAUGGCGAAGGCAGCCAUCUGGCCUAAUACUGACGCUGAGGUACGAAAGCAUGGGGAGCAAACAGGAUU
rnacentral:rRNA from 1 species